rnacentral:rRNA from 1 species
AGCGAACGCUGGCGGCAGGCUUAACACAUGCAAGUCGAACGGGCACUUCGGUGUCAGUGGCAGACGGGUGAGUAACACGUGGGAACGUAGCUUUUGGUUCGGAACAACUGCGGGAAACUUCAGCUAAUACCUGUUAAGCCCUGACGGAGAAAGAUUGAUCGCCGAAAGAUCGGCCGGCGUCUGAUUAGCUAGUUGGUAGGGGAAUGGCCUACCAAGGCGACGAUCAGUAGCUGGUCUGGGAGGAUGAUCAGCCACAUUGGGACUGAGACAGGGACCAAACUCCUACGGGAGGCAGCAGUGGGGAAUAUUAGACAAUGAGGGCAACCCAGAUCCAGCCAUGCCGCGUGAGUGAUGAAGGCCCUAGGGUUGUAAAGCUCUUUUGUGCGGGAAGAUAAUGACGGUACCGCAAGAAUAAGCCCCGGCUAACUUCGUGCCAGCCGCCGCGGUAA